CACGUAGGCGGAUAUUUAAGUCAGGGGUGAAAUCCCAGAGCUCAACUCUGGAACUGCCUUUGAUACUGGGUAUCUUGAGUAUGGAAGAGGUAAGUGGAGUUCCGAGUGUAGAGGUGAAAUUCGUAGAUAUUCGGAGGAACACCAGUGGCGAAGGCGGCUUACUGGUCCAUUACUGACGCCGAGGUGCGAAAGCGUGGGGAGCAAACA
rnacentral:rRNA from 1 species